UGUGAAACGGUGAUAAUCAGUAAAAUUGCUCUGGAAAAGGGGAUGCAGAAGCCCUCCUUUCUCCACAGUGCGGGCAGAAGGGAAAGCCAUGCUGGGUUUUUGCUGUCUCAUUUUCGAGGUUAGGUUUUCCUGAAGGGCAGAAGACGCUGGCACUGAGAGGAGCAGAUAGGAAAAAAGGAGCGGAUAGCAGGCACAAAGUAGAAGCAUGCCACCUGUGUUGUGCAACUACGUCAGAAUUUUGUGUUUACACAGGCCUCAGGACCUGUGGAUUCCUUUUGGAGUGCUUGCAGCAGACAGCCCUAUUUUCUGCAGCGUGCUCAGUGCUGCCAACAUCGACUGGUCAAAGAUCAUGAGAUCACCUGAAAAAACAGGUUCUCUCUGUUUAUUUGCUGUUUGGGGUUUACAGUCUUUGCACUUCACAUUUUAAACUUUGCUCUGCAAAAGCACCCAGAAGGUUCAAAAGUUACCCAUUUUUUUUAACAGAAUAAAGGCAAAACAGAGGUGGGGGAGGGCCUUUAAGAGUCCAUGUGAACUUGGCCACACUCAUACACCCAGGCUGACAGUUUUGCUCAGUCCAUCAUUUCUUCCAAGAGAGCCCGAGGUUUUUCUCAUGCAAUGGUGUUAUAAAGCUCAUUCAUUUCUCCAGACUUUUAUGAAGACAACGUAUAACAGCAGAAACUAGAUUAAGCUUUAUCCUUGGGAAGAAGCCUAAUUAAUUUCCUUGUGGAACUUAUUAGCGUUAGUCAUUCCCGCUGCAUAUUCACCACCUAUCCCAUGAGGUAGGAGCAUUUUGCACAUCUGAAAAUAAGCACUCAGCAUCAUAACAUGCCAUGCUAUUUGACUAAACUCGGAUGGCCGUAGGAUUCCACGCGCCUUUCCCACAAGAGCUAUUAUGCACCUGCUACCCCUGCAGAGUUUCCCCCAUUAAUUGCCGCAAACCCCUCGCAGGCUGUGGGGCUUUGCACAUGGCUUUAGGGCGAGCAAGCAGAGCAGUUGGGGGUCGCUUGCUUUUCUUAGUGCUGCAAAUGCUGGUGCUGCUGCUGUCCCUGGGGCUGAGCAAAAUCCCACAUCCGUGGGUGCCCCAGCCCCACUCCAUCAAUGCUGGGUGCCCCGCGGCUCCUGGAGCGCUCCCCCUGCCGGCUCCUCCUGCCAGAGGCUCGCUGCCAUUUCAAGGUUUGAAAAUGGGAUUUAUUGUACAAACCGGACAAGAGGC